rnacentral:rRNA from 1 species
CACGUAGGGUGCGAGCGUUGUCCGGAAUUAUUGGGCGUAAAGAGCUCGUAGGCGGUGUGUCGCGUCGGCCGUGAAAACCUGUGGCUUAACUAUGGGCUUGCGGUCGAUACGGGCAUCACUGGAGUUCGGCAGGGGAGACUGGAAUUCCUGGUGUAGCGGUGAAAUGCGCAGAUAUCAGGAGGAACACCGGUGGCGAAGGCGGGUCUCUGGGCCGAUACUGACGCUGAGGCACGAAAGCGUGGGGAGCAAACAGG